rnacentral:rRNA from 1 species
AUGAGUAGGGCGGGACACGUGGUAUCCUGUCUGAAUAUGGGGGGACCAUCCUCCAAGGCUAAAUACUCCUGACUGACCGAUAGUGAACCAGUACCGUGAGGGAAAGGCGAAAAGAACCCCGGCGAGGGGAGUGAAAAAGAACCUGAAACCGUGUACGUACAAGCAGUGGGAGCACAGAGCAAUCUGUGUGACUGCGUACCUUUUGUAUAAUGGGUCAGCGACUUAUAUUCUGUAGCAAGGUUAACCGAAUAGGGGAGCCGAAGGGAAACCGAGUCUUAACCGGGCGUUAAGUUGCAGGGUAUAGACCCGAAACCCGGUGAUCUAGCCAUGGGCAGGUUGAAGGUUGGGUAACACUAACUGGAGGACCGAACCGACUAAUGUUGAAAAAUUAGCGGAUGACUUGUGGCUGGGGGUGAAAGGCCAAUCAAACCGGGAGAUAGCUGGUUCUCCCCGAAAGCUAUUUAGGUAGCGCCUCGUGAAUUCAUCUCCGGGGGUAGAGCACUGUUUCGGCAAGGGGGUCAUCCCGACUUACCAACCCGAUGCAAACUGCGAAUACCGGAGAAUGUUAUCACGGGAGACACACGGCGGGUGCUAACGUCCGUCGUGAAGAGGGAAACAACCCAGACCGCCAGCUAAGGUCCCAAAGUCAUGGUUAAGUGGGAAACGAUGUGGGAAGGCCCAGACAGCCAGGAUGUUGGCUUAGAAGCAGCCAUCAUUUAAAGAAAGCGUAAUAGCUCACUGGUCGAGUCGGCCUGCGCGGAAGAUGUAACGGGGCUAAACCAUGCACCGAAGCUGCGGCAGCGACACUGUGUGUUGUUGGGUAGGGGAGCGUUCUGUAAGCCUGUGAAGGUGUGCUGUGAGGCAUGCUGGAGGUAUCAGAAGUGCGAAUGCUGACAUAAGUAACGAUAAAGCGGGUGAAAAGCCCGCUCGCCGGAAGACCAAGGGUUCCUGUCCAACGUUAAUCGGGGCAGGGUGAGUCGACCCCUAAGGCGAGGCCGAAAGGCGUAGUCGAUGGGAAACAGGUUAAUAUUCCUGUACUUGGUGUUACUGCGAAGGGGGGACGGAGAAGGCUAUGUUGGCCGGGCGACGGUUGUCCCGGUUUAAGCGUGUAGGCUGGUUUUCCAGGCAAAUCCGGAAAAUCAAGGCUGAGGCGUGAUGACGAGGCACUACGGUGCUGAAGCAACAAAUGCCCUGCUUCCAGGAAAAGCCUCUAAGCAUCAGGUAACAUCAAAUCGUACCCCAAACCGACACAGGUGGUCAGGUAGAGAAUACCAAGGCGCUUGAGAGAACUCGGGUGAAGGAACUAGGCAAAAUGGUGCCGUAACUUCGGGAGAAGGCACGCUGAUAUGUAGGUGAAGUCCCUCGCGGAUGGAGCUGAAAUCAGUCGAAGAUACCAGCUGGCUGCAACUGUUUAUUAAAAACACAGCACUGUGCAAACACGAAAGUGGACGUAUACGGUGUGACGCCUGCCCGGUGCCGGAAGGUUAAUUGAUGGGGUCAGCGCAAGCGAAGCUCUUGAUCGAAGCCCCGGUAAACGGCGGCCGUAACUAUAACGGUCCUAAGGUAGCGAAAUUCCUUGUCGGGUAAGUUCCGACCUGCACGAAUGGCGUAAUGAUGGCCAGGCUGUCUCCACCCGAGACUCAGUGAAAUUGAACUCGCUGUGAAGAUGCAGUGUACCCGCGGCAAGACGGAAAGACCCCGUGAACCUUUACUAUAGCUUGACACUGAACAUUGAGCCUUGAUGUGUAGGAUAGGUGGGAGGCUUUGAAGUGUGGACGCCAGUCUGCAUGGAGCCGACCUUGAAAUACCACCCUUUAAUGUUUGAUGUUCUAACGUGGACCCGUGAUCCGGGUUGCGGACAGUGUCUGGUGGGUAGUUUGACUGGGGCGGUCUCCUCCUAAAGAGUAACGGAGGAGCACGAAGGUUGGCUAAUCCUGGUCGGACAUCAGGAGGUUAGUGCAAUGGCAUAAGCCAGCUUGACUGCGAGCGUGACGGCGCGAGCAGGUGCGAAAGCAGGUCAUAGUGAUCCGGUGGUUCUGAAUGGAAGGGCCAUCGCUCAACGGAUAAAAGGUACUCCGGGGAUAACAGGCUGAUACCGCCCAAGAGUUCAUAUCGACGGCGGUGUUUGGCACCUCGAUGUCGGCUCAUCACAUCCUGGGGCUGAAGUAGGUCCCAAGGGUAUGGCUGUUCGCCAUUUAAAGUGGUACGCGAGCUGGGUUUAGAACGUCGUGAGACAGUUCGGUCCCUAUCUGCCGUGGGCGCUGGAGAACUGAGGGGGGCUGCUCCUAGUACGAGAGGACCGGAGUGGACGCAUCACUGGUGUUCGGGUUGUCAUGCCAAUGGCACUGCCCGGUAGCUAAAUGCGGAAGAGAUAAGUGCUGAAAGCAUCUAAGCACGAAACUUGCCCCGAGAUGAGUUCUCCCUGACCCUUUAAGGGUCCUGAAGGAACGUUGAAGACGACGACGUUGAUAGGCCGGGUGUGUAAGCGCAGCGAUGCGUUGAGCUAACCGGUACUAAUGAACCGUGAGGCUUAACCUUACAACGCCGAAGGUGUUU